GCGCAACUGGCGCCAGGACAGUGGCGGCCCGGCCAGGACACGGAGCCUGCAGGCCUGAACCAGGGUGAUGCUGAAGAUGAUGACCUUCUUCCAAGGCCUCUCGGGUCAUCAGCCUGUGCCAGGCACCCUCGACUUCCCUAGAAGCCCCCAAAAGUUGCCGUCCACAUCAGAGGCAGAGUCAGAGGCCUCCAUGUCGGAGGCCUCCUCUGAGGACCUGGUGCCACCCCUGGAGGCUGGGGCAGCCCCAUAUAGGGAGGAGGAAGAGGCGGCCAAGAAGAAGAAGGAGAAGAAGAAGUCCAAAGGCCUGGCCAAUGUGUUCUGCGUCUUCACCAAAGGGAAGAAGAAGAAGGGUCAGCCCAGCUCAGCGGAGCCCGAGGACGCAGCCGGGUCCAGGCAGGGGCUGGAUGGCCCGCCCUCCACAGUGACAUCAUCAACAGCCCCAAGCUGGUGGGUGAGCUGCAGGGUAUGGGGCUCGGGAGCCUCCUGCCCCCCAGGCAGAUCCGGCUGCUGGAGGCCACAUUCCUGUCCAAUGAGGCGGCCAACGUGAGGGAGUUGAUGGACCGAGCUCU
rnacentral:sRNA from 1 species